rnacentral:rRNA from 1 species
AGGACGAACGCUGGCGGCGUGCUUAACACAUGCAAGUCGAGCGGAAAGGCCCUUCGGGGUACUCGAGCGGCGAACGGGUGAGUAACACGUGAGUAAUCUGCCCCUAGCUCUGGGAUAGCUCCGGGAAACCGGGAUUAAUACCGGAUACGACCACCUUAGACAUCUUUUGUGGUGGAAAGAAUUUCGGCUAGGGAUGAGCUCGCGGCCUAUCAGCUUGUUGGUGGGGUAACCGCCUACCAAGGCGACGACGGGUA